rnacentral:rRNA from 1 species
GACGUAGGGCGCGAGCGUUGUCCGGAUUUAUUGGGCGUAAAGAGCUCGUAGGCGGCUUGUCGCGUCGACUGUGAAAACCCGUGGCUCAACCAUGUGGUCUGCAGUCGAUACGGGCAGGCUAGAAUUCGGUAGGGGAGACUGGAAUUCCUGGUGUAGCGGUGAAAUGCGCAGAUAUCAGGAGGAACACCGGUGGCGGAGGCGGGUCUCUGGGCCGAUAUUGACGCUGAGGAGCGAAAGCGUGGGGAGCGAACAGG